GACGGACGCUGGCGGCGUGCUUAACACAUGCAAGUCGAACGGAAAGGCCCCAGCUUGCCGGGGUACUCGAGUGGCGAACGGGUGAGUAACACGUGGGUGAUCUGCCCUGCACUCUGGGAUAAGCCUGGGAAACUGGGUCUAAUACCGGAUAGGACCGUGCUUUAGUGUGUGCGGUGGAAAGUUUUUCGGUGCAGGAUGAGCCCGCGGCCUAUCAGCUUGUUGGUGGGGUAAUGGCCUACCAAGGCGGCGACGGGUAGCCGGCCUGAGAGGGUGUACGGCCACAUUGGGACUGAGACACGGCCCAGACUCCUACGGGAGGCAGCAGUGGGGAAUAUUGCACAAUGGGCGCAAGCCUGAUGCAGCGACGCCGCGUGGGGGAUGACGGCCUUCGGGUUGUAAACCCCUUUCGGCAGGGACGAAGCUUUUGUGACGGUACCUGCAUAAGAAGCACCGGCUAACUACGUG
rnacentral:rRNA from 1 species